rnacentral:rRNA from 1 species
UGAAGCCGACGACGUUGAUAGGCCGGGUGUGUAAGCGCAGCGAUGCGUUGAGCUAACCGGUACUAAUGAACCGUGAGGCUUAACCUUACAACGCCGAAG